UAGGGAAUCUUCCAACAAUGGGCGCAAGCCUGAUGGAGCAACGCCGCGUGAGUGAAGAAGGGUUUCGGCUCGUAAAACUCUGUUGUUAAAGAAGAACAUAUCUGAGAGUAACUGUUCAGGUAUUGACGGUAUUUAACCAGAAAGCCACGGCUAACUACGUGCCAG
rnacentral:rRNA from 1 species